rnacentral:rRNA from 1 species
GUUUAUGGCCAUACCACCCUGAAUGUUCCCAAUCUUGUUGGGUGUUGAAAGCUAAACAGGGUCAGCCCUGGUUAGUAGUUGGGUAUGAAACCACCUGAGACCACCAGAUGCUGUAGGCU